rnacentral:SRP_RNA from 1 species
GCCAGGCAUGGUGGCGCAUGCCUGUAAUCCCAGCUAUUUUGGAGGCUGAGGCAGGAGAAUCGCUUGAACCUGGGAGGCAGAGGCUGCAGUGAGCGGAGAUUGCGCCAUUGCACUCCAGCCUGGGUGACAGAGUGAGACCUUGUCUCCA